rnacentral:misc_RNA from 1 species
GAUGAAGAACGUAGCGAAAUGCGAUACUUGGUGUGAAUUGCAGAAUCCCGCGAAUCAUCGAGUUUUUGAACGCAAGUUGCGCCCGAAGCCACUAGGCCGAGGGCACGCCUGCCUGGGCGUCACACGCCGUUGCCCCCCCAUCUACUCCUUCGGGAUUGCGGGGGGGCGGAUGAUGGCCUCCUGUGCGCCUAGCCGCGCGGUUGGCAUAAAUACCAAGUCCUCGGCGACGCACGCCACGACAAUCGGUGGUUGCGAAACCUCGGUUGCCCGUCGUGUGCGUUCGUCGCGCAUCGAGGGCUCGAAAAAAUGCUCGGCUCCGGCUGGGCUUUCAACGCGACCCCAGGUCAGGCGGGGUUACCCGCUGAAUUUAAGCAUAUCAAUAAGCGGAGGA